rnacentral:rRNA from 1 species
UACGAAGGGGGCUAGCGUUGUUCGGAAUCACUGGGCGUAAAGCGCACGUAGGCGGAUGUGCCAGUCAGGGGUGAAAUCCCGGAGCUCAACUCCGGAACUGCCUCUGAUACAGCACGUCUUGAGUUCGAGAGAGGUGGGUGGAAUUCCUAGUGUAGAGGUGAAAUUCGUAGAUAUUGGGAAGAACACCUGAGGCGAAGGCGGGAUGCUGGGCCGACACUGACGCUGAGGCGCGAAAGCCAGGGGAGCGAACGGG